UGUAAGCGUAUACCAAAGUUGUUGCAGUUAAAACGCUCGUAGUCGGAAUUUGGCAGUUCCGGAUGUGUGCACGUCGUGUGCGCACUUCGCGGGGAUUGCUUUUGUGGUCUUGCGUAGGAUGAGGUACUUUUAUUAGUGAACGUCCUCACGCAACCACUUUUUACUGUGAGAAAAUCAGAGUGCUCAAAGCAGGCAUUUGCCGUGAAUGUAUUAGCAUGGAAUAAUAGAAUAGGACUUGGUUCUAUUUUGUUGGUUUGUUGGGACUGAGUAAUGAUUAAGAGGGACAGUUGGGGGCAUUUGUAUUUCGGUGCUAGAGGUGAAAUUCUUAGAUUACCGAAAGACAAACUGCUGCGAAAGCGUCUGCCAAGGAUGUUUUCAUUGA
rnacentral:rRNA from 1 species